rnacentral:rRNA from 1 species
AGAUUGAACGCUGGCGGCAUGCCUUACACAUGCAAGUCGAACGGCAGCACGGGAGCAAUCCUGGUGGCGAGUGGCGAACGGGUGAGUAAUACAUCGGAACGCGCCCAAUCGUGGGGGAUAACGCAGCGAAAGCUGUGCUAAUACCGCAUAAGAUCUACGGAUGAAAGCAGGGGAUCGCAAGACCUUGCGCGAAUGGAGCGGCCGAUGGCAGAUUAGGUAGUUGGUGAGGUAAAGGCUCACCAAGCCUUCGAUCUGUAGCUGGUCUGAGAGGACGACCAGCCACACGUGGGACUGAGACACGGCCCAGACU